GAGAAAACACAACCCAUCUAGCAAGUCCUCUGUGUUACUGUUUUGCCUCGCGUCUUUAACAUCCGGGACAGUUUCAGAACUGGAUGCAUGAGUGGCGUCCGUGGCCCGUAGCUGGAGGUAGAAGAGAGUUGGGGGUUCUCUGUUGAGCACUGGACCUCAAUGGAAGCAGAGCAGCAGAUCAUCCCGGAGCAGUUCUUAGCCGUGACCUGAUAAACAGCAGCAUCGUCUGUGGUACAGCUGGGAGGACAGGAAGACAGGUGAGUUUGCCACGCCUGCACGUGCAUGCCCGCAUUCCCCAUGCGGUGGCCUGCAACCAAAACGACCAUUCUUUUACUGCAUCCGGCUAAGGGUAUGCAGGUCCCAGGCCACAGUGGAGAGAACUCUGGGAAGCCCCCACCUUCCCCUUUGCAGCUGCCCACAACCUUCCUCCAAACUGGCAAUGUUGAGAUGUGUUUCGAUGAAUGGGGGAAAUGUUUUCUAUUCUGUUGUUUUAAGUCAUCGUUACGCUAUGGUCAUUCUUUUUCUGGAGUGAGAUGUUGUGCACAAAUCACUAAUGCAUUCUGCUUCCUGCUGUGGAACCGCCUGAGCAAUAGUUCUUCUGAAGACCACGCUGGGAAGGCAUGGCUCAUGCCAGGGCACUGCAAAGAUAAUACCAUAAUAGGAUUAUGUGUCCAGAGGACAGUGCCAUUUCCUCUUUAAUCUAGCAUGACCUAAAGGUCUAAACCCCCACCGUGAUCCCCACUGGCUGCAAACUGACGUCCACAUGCUGUGCUGCCCAGCACAGAUCAGGCCAGGUGUUGGGCUUUGGCCCAGCAUGGGAGGGACAGAAUCCUGGACCAGACUGAGCCUGCUCACCCUGUUCCAGGACAACCAGGGCUCCCGUAGCUCCUCCUUUGUCGACUGGAGACACCCAGAACCCAGGGCAGGCUUCCUUGCUCUCAGGGCCCCUUCCCCAGGUUCUGCAGUCCCAGUAAAGGCUUGCUACCCUUGCUGGGUAAGUUGCAGUCUCUCUCAUCUGAGAUUCGCUGACCCCACUCCGGGCAUCAUUGAGCUCCGAAGUCCAUGGUGAUUUCCAGAAGGCAGGAGCUGCAGGUCUGGCUUGGACUGAGGUGUAACGCUUUGAUCUUUAUUGACUCCUCACUGUGAACCGUGCACAGAGGUCUACUUAGGAGUCUGCCCUAGACUCAGGCAGCCAGAUCCGUCUGUCUUAGCCUUCCUCUUCCUCACUGCGGGGAGGCCUGUGCCUCCUCCAGCCAAUAGGUGCUCCUAAGUCCUGAAUCACUGGGUACUCACUCCAGAAGUCAGAGCCUAAUUCCUUGAUGCCUAGUUGAGCUGAGAACCUGGCUCCCCGGCAGAAGCCCUUUGCGGUGGCUGAGGUUGGCCAACCUGGUCUGUAACUGCUCCCUGACUUCACCUCGGCUGGUGGCAAGGAAGAAUGAGUAAGCUUUUGGGAGGAAACAGUACCUGCUCCAGUCUAUCUCACAGUCAUUCAGAGGCCCAGAUGACACAUCAUGGCAAAGGGGCUGUGCACGGCGGAUACUUCCUGCUACCUGUGUUGUGCGGGAAUGCGGAAGUACCAAGACCAAGUACCACAGCUUCUCAAGAAGCCUGCAGAGAGCUCUGUUGAAACUUCUUGACUCAGAAUCGCAGGUUGUAGGGCCUGAGAACCUGCUUUUAAAAUCCCAUGGCCAUUCUGAUAGAAGCCGCCCCGGCCCCUCAGUGGCGAUGUCCACACCCCCCUUCUCUUUACUCGGGCUUCAGUCUCUUCGCUUCAAGCUGAAUCUUUUCAGUCAAGACACCUGCCUUCGCUGCUGUCUCACACUACCCACAUCAUUCUCUGCAUGAACAAUUCAGUUAAUUCUUGGAGGUUUGGCCUCAGCAAAGAGCUCCCAGGGAGCCUAAAGAGGGCAUUGUGGUCUCCUGGGAAAUCCCAAGUGGUCAGAUUGGCUGACCACAAGCCCUCUGCCAGAGGCACCACCUACCCUGAGGUGUGUCACCCCAACUUGUGGGCGAAGAAGAGAGAGAAAGAGAGGAAGAUGAGGCUGGAAGGCACAGAAAUCCAGGGAAGAAAGUAGUAGAGGAGGGAGGCGGAGGUCGUUCCCAAGAAUCCAGAAGAGAACGCGGAGAGAAUCUUGGAAAAACAUGAAGGAAAUAAUUGGGCUCAGUACAAGUAUAUUUAAUUUCUUAAUGACUAAAUAAGCAGGUGGGAGGUUGUCAUAAUUUGAUGAUAUAUAAUUUUAUGGGACAUGUAUUUCAAUUGAUACAAAAUUUACAAUCCAUCUUAAGACCACUCAGGAAAGAGGACAAGGAGCUAGAUUAAGUAUAAUUCACAUCUUACUGGCUAAUGAAUGCCUUCGAGUUAUGCCUUGAGACUGACAUAUCCUUGGUGAUUACCUCAGCAUCCCUAAGAAGACAGGGAGAAAAUUGGGCAAGGAAGCUGGCAAGUGUUGAACACUUGUCUGCCCACUACAUGCAAAAUCGCAGCUCAAGGAGUUGAGUGAUUUCUGCAAGAUGACGAAGCGGGUAAGCACAGAGCUGGGACAGGAAACCAGAGCUUGUGGCUUGGAAGCUGGGCUCUGUGCAUGCUCCCGGAGAGCUGACCCAGAGAACGGACAUGACAGGCUAUAAAUGGGUUGUUUUGCAAAUGCAGUGUUUCUGCCCUAAGUGGUCAUUUUGAUCAGUCAGUUGGGAAGCUUGUGUAGAAUGUAUGCUGGAGCCCAACAUUAUGGAAAAGUGCAAAAGGUGGCAAGGAGAUGCUAAACACACGGUCCAACCCUAACGCGACGAAAAAUCUACAGAAGGAAGUAGUGUUCAUUUCUUAAAGAACCUGCAACUCUGUGCUGAGCUGUGCAGCACAAACCGGCAGGAAAAGGGAGUCCACUGGAGGCCUUUGGCGGUAGCGCUGAAAGUGCCCUGCGUGGAUGGAGGUGUAUGGUCUGUGCAAGAUGCUGACAGAGCAAAAGAAAGAAAACCAGGACUCCAGUCACAGAGGAAAAUCGGCACCCUGGCACCUCUGAGGAGCUCUGUCAAAGCCCCUUCCCAUGAGUCUUCAUCUCCGGCCUGUCUGGUGGCUCCCAGGAAGACCCUACCCACAAGACACUUCCUGUCGUCUGGGAGGUCACCCCCUGUGGCUAAAAAAAAAGUCCACAAGGGUCGGUGUAUGGCUCACUAGUUAAUCCUCCACCUGCGACACCAGCAUCCCAUAUGGGCGCUGGGUUCUAGUCCUGGUUGCCCCUCUUCCAGUCCAGCUUUCUGCUGUGGCCCGGGAGUGCAGUGGAGGCUGGCCCAAGUGCUUGGGCCCUGCACCCCAUGGGAGACCAGGAGAAGCACCUAGCUCCUGGCUUCGGAUCGGUGUAGGUCCGACCGUAGCGGCCAUUUGAGGAGUGAACCAAAGGAAGGACGACCUUUCUCUCUCUCUCUCUCUCACUGUCUAACUCUGCCUGU